GACGAACGCUGGCGGCGUGCCUAAUGCAUGCAAGUCGCACGGGCGCAGUUCGCUGCGCCAGUGGCGCACGGCUGAGGAACACGUGGGGAUCGACCCGUUCGUGGGGGACAACGGUGGGAAACCAGCGCUAAUCCCGCAUACGCUCUUUGGAGGAAAGCGGUGCUUGCACCGCGCGGACGGACGACCCUGCGGCCCAUCAGGUUGUUGGCGGGGUAACGGCCCACCAAGCCACUGACGGGUAGCUGGUCUGGGAGGAUGACCAGCCAGACUGGGACUG
rnacentral:rRNA from 1 species